GCAAGUUAUGAACUCAUUUACAACCGACUUAACCCAUUUCUUAGCCCGGCUCACUUAUGCGCGAGUUAGUCAAGAAAAAGAGGAUGGGACACUAGGUUGCACGCUCACUCUCUUUUCUCUCUCCCUCUUCAAUUGGCCGGAUUUGAUUCGCCGCCGCCCCCACCGCCGCGCAUCUUCCGUGGCCCUCCCUCUAUUCAGCUAUUACAAAUCGUCCAAUUCAGUCGCUAAACACCACUUCCUCUAUUCAGCCUCUUGAUUCAAGAUCAAUCCCGAACUCGCCCUCACUCUCUGCUCUCGAAAUCGAUUCGGUUCCACCCAAUCAACCACCGCCAAAAGUCCCAAUUUCAUCUCUGAUUCAAUAAAACCCUGUAUCGAAGAUUCGCAAAGCGAAUGGAACAUGCAAGUUGGGAGCCCCAAAAUCGUUCCUUCAACGCCUGUUGCCAGGUUCUUUUGUCAAAGAGUGGUUGGAAGCCAAUUCCUCUUGUUGACAUAAUAGAGGGACCUGUGGUGAAGAGAGCUUAUCAGAUAGCCUUGCUUUGCCUUCAUCCAGAUAAAAUUGCAGCAGAAGGGUGCUACUUCACAUCCAAAGUACGUAGCAGAACAAGUCUUCGACAUAUUGCAGGUGAUUUUCGUUACUUACCUGAUGCGUUCUAUGUCGGUUUGUGAUUUUGGGAUAGUCAGAACACAUUUUUCUCAUUAAUAAAAGCAGAGUUUGUCAAGAUUAUUGUAGAUGCUGUAAUCUUUUCAUAAGUCACAACGUGCUAAUGAAUAAAAAAAUCUUCCCCAGGUUUUAUGCUCUGCUGUUUGCGUUUUGGGGAAGCGUGCAUUUGGUACGUCGCUUUUCAAUUUUUUCGUUGUUUGAUUCCUCUGUUUUUAAGUAUGCAUGCGUCAAGCUUGUGCUCUCGCUUUCUCUGUUUGUAUAUGUGAGUAACAUAGUCAGAACACGUUCUCUGCCGGCUUGUCUUGGUCCCACAUUUAGUUGUUGCUGUUAUAGUUCUGGCUUCAUUGUCUCCCGAUACUUGUUUGGCUAUUGCACGUAAAUCCUAGGAAAUGAUGGGGAGGGUGUUCGCCGAGUGAGAUGGAGAUCCCCACAUUCAGGAGACCUCUCGUCCUUUACCGUGCAAAAAAAUUCCUUUUUUCGUGCAGUCAAAUCUCGGGAUUUUGGCCCUCCUCUUGAUUUGCAAUCAGUCUUCAUUUGCCUCGUUCAACUUUUCUCGGUUGCAUUUCGGCGUGUGAACGCCCAAAUUUGGCCGAGCGAAUAAAUAUUGUUUCCAUAUUGCUACAAAUCCCCACAGUUCCUUUCUCAAGUUCACUCAUCACCUCCAUGAUUUAACGGCCAACUCAUUUCAUGCGCAUUAACUUAUGGAUUCUUUCCCUUAAUCUCUCUCAUUCCAACCCCCCGCUCAAUGUCUUGCCGAUCUUGCCUCUUGCCUGCCAUAUUUUCAAGUAAAAAUAUUCCAGUGAUUUCUCCUCUUGGUUGGCCAUGAUCUCUUUCCCGGUUUUGCCUCCUCAAAUCUCCAAAAUUACGUCGUUGGUUCAAUUGGAUUAAAACUUAGAAGGUCAAGAUCAUGAGUUAAAAAGAGAAGUUGCCCUUUUGGUCAACUAAUUAAUUUUGUGGUUUAUAAGGCUAAUUAGCCUAAAUGCAAGCUUAAUUGACCUUGCUUGUGAUUGAAUUGAGGAAUGAUUGCUCUCAAUAUCAAUUAGUGAUGCAUUACCCUUCGAAAGGUAGAAUAGGAUACUAUAAGAUAAAUGACUUGCUUAUAUCUCAUGCACUAAAUUCUAAAGAGGCUCGUUGCAUAUCAGGUCAAUUCUCGUCUCCAUUAAAGCAACUCAUUCAUGGUUAUUGCUAUCUUAUUAUCGUUUGCCUUGUAUGGGAUCAUUCUUAUCAAAAAGCAAAUGACUUGCUUAUAUGUAUGCACAAUAUCGCAUUCUAUUCCUUGGCAAUAAUGAAGGCCAACUCUUUGUGUGACAAUGUUCCGUAAAAAUCUUAGAACUCCCGCUAUGGAAAGGUAUGCAAUGUGUACUCCUCUAGCUACAAACAAAAACCCUCACUCUUCCCAUUUCUCUUUUUUUAGUUUUGCCAAUUCGAUCUUCUUAUCAUGGCCCUGAGCAAUGCAAACCUCUUCCUCUUGGCGGCUCCUCUGAAAACACUAUGGCGAGAAGCACUAGGAGUAGUGGGUUUAAUUGAUUUUUCUGUUUUAAUCGAGCCAUAAUUAGGGAAAGUGAUCUAAGUGAAAGUUGAAGUAGACAUCCUUAGCUUCAAUUGGAAACUAGAAUCACUUAAUUUGAAGUUUGUCAAGGCCUUAAAUUGCAUUAAUACGUAGAAGGUCAGAAUCAUAGGUAAAAGAGAGAAGUUGCCCUUUUGGUCAACUAAUUUAUUUUGUAAUUUAUAGGGCUAAUUAGCCUAAAUGCAUGCUUAAAUAGACCUUGCUUGUGAUUGAAUUGAAGAUUGAUUGCUCUUAAUAUCGAUUAGUGAUGCAUGACCCUUCAUUGGGUAGAAUAGGAUAUUAUAAGAUAAAUGACUAGCUUAUAUGUCAUGCGCUAAAUUCUGAAAAGGCUCAUUGCAUAUCAGGUCAAUCCUAGUCUCCAUUAAAGCAACUCAUUCAUUGUUAUUGCUAUCUUAUUAUCGCUUGCCUUAUAUGGGAUUGUUCUAUUCGAAAAGUAAAUGACUUGCUUAUAUGUAUAUAAAAUAUCACAUUCUAUACCUUGGCAAUAAUGAAGGCCAAGUCCUUGGGUGACAAUAUUCCGUAAAAAUCACGGAACUUCCGUUAUAAAAAGGUAUGCAAUGUGGACUCUUCUAACCACAAACGAAAACCCUUGCUCUUCCCGUUUCUGUUUUUUUUUUUCUUAUCAUGGCCCUAAGCAAUGUAAACCUCUCCCUCUUGGCAGCUCCUUUGAAAACAUUACAGUGAGAAGCGCUAAGAGUAGUGGGUUUAAUUGCCCUUUUGCUAAACUAAUAGAUUUUGUGGUUUAUAAAGCUAAUUAGCCUAAAUGCAUGCUUAAUUGACCUUGCUUAUGAUUAAAUUGAUGAUUGAUGACAAAAUUAAUAUCGAUUAGUGAUGCAUGACCCUUCGACGAGUAGCAUAGGACAUUGUAAGCUAAAUGACUUGCUUCUAUGUCAUGCACUAAAUUCUGAAAAGACUCGUUGCAUAUUGGGUUAAUCCUAGUCUCCAAUAAAGCAACUCAUUCAUGGUUAUUGCUAUCUUUUUAUCGCUCGCUUUCAUUUUCUUUUCAAUAAGAACAAUCCCAUACAAAGCAAUCGAUAAUAAGAUGGCAAUAACCAUGCAUGAGUUGCUUUAAUGGAGACCAAGAUUGACCUGAUAUGUGACGAAUCUUUUCAGAAUUUAGUGCAUGACAUAUAAGGAAGUCAUUUAUCUUACAAUGUACCCGUCGAAGGGUCAUGCAUCACUAAUCAAUAGUGAGAACAAUCAAUCAUCAAUUCCAUCACAAACAAUAUCAAUUAAGCAUGCAUUUGGGCUAAUUAGCCUUAUGAACCACACAAUCAAUUUGUUGAACAAAAUGACAACUUCUCUCUUUUUUCCACAAUUUUGACCUUCUAAGUUUUUAUCCAAUUGAAGGCCUUGACAAACUUCAAAUUAAGUGUUUCUAAUUGCCAAUUGAAGCUUAGGACAUCUACUUCAACUUUCAUUUAGAUCACUUUCCGUAAUUAUGACUCAAUUAAAAGAGAAAAAUCAAUUAAACCCACUACUCCUAGCGCUUGUUACCAUAGUAUUUUCAGAGGAGCUGCUAAGAGGGAGAGACUUGCAUUACUUAAGGCCAUGAUAAAAAGAUUGAAUUGGCACAAGAAAAGAGAAAUGGGAAGAGUGAGGAUUUUUGUUUGUGGUGAGAGGAGUCCACAAUGGAUACCAUUCUAUAAAGGGAGUUCCAAGAGUUUUACCGAAUGUUGUCACACAAGGAGUUGGCCUUCAUUAUAGCCUUUCUAUAGAAUGUGAUAUUUUGCACACAUAUAAGCUAGUCAUUUGCUUUUCGAUAAGAACGAUCCCAUACAAAGUAAGCGAUAAUGAGAUAGCAAUAACCAUCUGUAAUGGAGACUAGAAUUGACCUGAUAUGCAUGGAGCCUUUUCAGAAUUUAGUGCAUGACAUAUAUGCAAGUCAUUUAUCUUACAAUGUCCUAUGCUACCCGUCAAAUGGUCAUGCAUCACUAAUCGAUAUUGAAAGCAAUCGAUAAUCAAUUCAAUUACAAGCAAUGUCAAUUAAGCAUGCAUUUAGGCUAAUUAGCUUUAUAAACCAUAAAAUCAAUAAGUUGACCAAAGGGGCAACUUCUUCCUUUUACCUAUGAUUCUGACCUUCUAAGUUUUAAUCCAAUUCAAGGCCUUGACAAACUUCAAACUACGUGAUUCUAAUUGCCAAUUGAAGCUUAGGAUGUCUACUUCAACUUUCAUUUGGAUCACUUUCUCUAAUUAUGGUUUAAUUAAAAUAGAAAAAUCAAUUAAACCCACUACUUCCAGCAUUUCUCGCCAUAGUGUUUUCAGAGGAGUCGCCAAGAGGGAGAGGUUUGCAUUACUUAGGGCCAUGAUAAAAAAAUUGAAUUGGCAAAAAAAAAAAAUAGAAAUGGAAAGAGCGAGGGUUUCAGUUUGUGGGGAGAGGAGUCCACAUUGCAUACCUUUUGAUAAUGGAAGUUCCAAGAUUUUUACGGGAUGUUGUCACAAAAGGAGUUGGUGUUCAUUAUUGCUAAGAUAUAGAAUGUGAUAUUUUGCAUACAUAUAAGCAAGUCAUUUCCUUUUUAAUAAGAAUGAUCCCAUACAAAGAAAGCGAUAACAAAAUAGCAAUAACCUUGAAUGAGUUGCUUUAAUAGAGAUUAGGAUUGACUAGAUAUGCAACGAGCCUUUUCAUAAUUUAGCGCAUGACAUAUAAGCAAGUUAUUUAUCUUACGGUGUCCUAGGCUACCCAUCGAUGGGUCAUGCGUCACUAAUCGAUAUUUAGAACAUUGAAUCAUCAUUUUAUUCAUAAGUAAGGUCAAUUAAGCAUGCAUUUAGGCUAAUUUGCCUUAUGAACCACAAAAUUAAUUAGUUGACCCAAUGGACAACUUCUGUCUUUUACUUAUGAUUCUAACCUUGUUAGUUUUAAUUCAAUUGAAGGCUUUGACAAAUUUCAAAUUAAUUGCCAAUUGAAGCUUAUGAUGUCUACUUUAACUUUCAUUUAGAUCACUUUCCCUAAUUAUGGCACAAUUAAAACAGAAAAAUCAAUUAAACCCACUACUCCUCACGCUUCUCGCCAUAGUGUUUUCAGAGGAACUGCCAAGAGGGAGAGGUUUACAUUGCUUAGGGCCAUGAUAAGAAGAUUGAAUUGGCAAAAAAAAAAAAAGGAAGAGCGAGGGUUUAUGUUUGUGGUGAGAGGAGUCCACAUUACAUACCUUUCUAUAAUGAGAAUUCCAAAAUUUUGACGGAACGUUCUUACACAAGGAGUUGGCUUUCAUUAUUGCUAAGGUUAGAAUGUGAUAUUUUGCAUACAUAUAAGCUAGUCAUUUUCUUUUUGAUAAGAAUGAUCCCAGAUAAAGCAAGCAAUGAUAAGAUAGAUAUAACCAUGAAUGACUUUCUUUAAUGGAGACUAGGAUUGACUUGAUAUGCCAAGAGCCUUUUAAAAUUUAGCGCGUGAUAUAUAAGUAAGUCAUUAUCUUACAAUGUCUUAUGCUACCCGUCGAAGUAUGAUCUAUCACUAAUCAAUAUUGACAGUAAUCAAUCAUCAAUUCAAUUACAAGCAAGGUCAAUUCAACAUGCAUUUAGGUUAAUUAGCCUUAUAAACUACAAAAUCUAUUAGUUAACAAAAAGGACUUCUCUCUAUUCCGUAUAAAUCUGACCUUCUAAGUUUUAAUCCAAUUGAAGGCCUUUACAAACUUCAAAUUAAGUUAUUCUAAUUGCCAAUUGAAGCUUAGGAUGCCUGCAUCAACUUUCAUUUAGAUCACUUUCCCUAAUUAUGGCUCAAUUAAAACAUAAAAAUCAAUUAAACCCACUACUCUUAGCGUUUCUCGCCAUAGUGCUUUCAGAGGAGUCUCGAAUAGCUGGAGAUUUGCAUUGCUCAGGGCCAUGAUAAGAAGAUUGAAAUGGCCAAAAAAAUAAAAAGAGAAAUGGGAAGAGCGAGGGCUUUUGUUUGUGGUGAGAGGAGUCCCCAAUGCAUACAUUUCAACAAUGGGAGUUCCAAGAUUUUUAUGGGACGUUGUCGUAGAAGGAGUUGACCUUUAUUAUUACCAAGGUAUUGAAUGUGAUAUUUUGCAUAGAUAUAAGCAAGUCAUUUACUUUUCGAUAAGAAAGAUCCUAUACAAUGUAAGUGAUAAUAAGAUAGUAAUAACCAUGAAUGAGUUGCUUUAAUGGAGAUUAGGAUUAACUCAAUAUGCAACAAACAUUUUCAGAAUUUAGUGCAUUACAUAUAAGCAAGUCAUUUAUCUUAAGUGUCCAAAGCUACCCGUUGAAGGGUCAUGCAUCACUAAUCGAUGUUGAGAGCAAUGAAUCAUCAAUUCACUCACAACAAAGGUCAAUUAAACAUGCAUUUAUGCUAAUUAGCCUUAUAAACUACAAAAUCAAUUAAUUGACCAAAUAGGCAACUUCUCUCUUUUACCUAUAUGAUUAUGACCUUCUAAGUUUUAAUCCAAUUGAAGGCCUUAACAAACUUCAAAUGAAGUGAUUCUAAUUGCCCAUUGAAGCUUAGAAUGCCUACUUCAACUUUCAUUUAUAUCUCUUUCCCUAAUUUUGGCUCAAUUAAAAUAGAAAAAACAAUUAAACCCACUACUCCUAGUGUUUCUCGCCAUAAUGUUUUCAGAGGAGCCGCCAAGAGGAAGAGGUUUGCAUUGCUCAGGGCCAUGAUAAGAAGAUUGAAUUGGCACAAAGAAAGAGAAAUGGGAAGAGCGAAUGUUUUUGUUCGUGGUGAGAGGAGUCCAUAUUUCACAUCUUUCCAUAACGAGAGUUUCAAGAUUUUUAUGGAAUGUUGUCACACAAGGAGUUGGCAUCCAUUAUUGCCAAGGUGUAGAAUGUGAUAUUUUGCACACAUAUAAGCAAGUCAUUUUCUGUUCGAUAAGAACGAUCCCAUACACUAGCAUAUAUGUAUGCAAAAUAUCAUAUUCUAUACUUUGGCAAUAAUGAAGGCCAACUCAUUGUGUGAUAACAUUCCGUAAAAAUCCUAGAAUUCUCCGUUAUUAAGGUAUACAAUGUGGACUUCUCUCACCUCAAAUAAAAACCCUCACCCAUCCCAUUUCUCUUUGCUUUGCCAAUUCAAUCUUCUUAUCAUGGCCAUGAGCAAUGCAAACCUCUCCCUCUUGGCAGCUCCUUUGAAAACACUAUGGCGAGAAGCGAUAGGAGUAGUGGGUUUAAGUGAUUUUUCAAUUUUAUUUAAGCCAUAAUUAGGAAUAGUGAUCUAAAGGAAAGUUGAAGUAGACAUCAUAAGCUUCAAUUAGCAAUUAGAAUUACUUAAUUUGAAGUUUGUCAAGGCCUUCAAUUGGAUUAAAACUUAGAAGGUCAGAAUCAUAGUAAAAGAUAGAAGUUGUGCAUUUGGUCAACUAAUUGAUUUUGUGGUUUAUAAGGUUAAUUAGUCUAAAUGCAUGCUUAAUUGACCUUUGUUGUGAAUGCAUUGAUGAUUCAUUGCUCUCAAUAUCAAUUAGUGAUGCAUGACCCUUCGACGGGUAACUUAGGACACUGCAAGAUAAAUGACUUGCUUAAAUGUUAUGCACUAAAUUCUGAAAAGGUUAGUUGGAUAUCAGGUCAAUCCUAAUCUCCAUUAAAGCAACUCAUUCAUGAUUAUUGCUAUCUUAUUAUCACUUGCCUUGUUUGGGAUUUUUCUUAUCAAAAAGUAAAUGACUUGCUUAUAUGUAUGCAAAAUGUCAUAUUCAAUACCUUGGCCAUAAUGAAGCUAACUCCUUCCGUGACAACGCCCCGUAAAAAUCUUGGAACUCCCAUUGUUAAAAGGUAUGCAAUGUGGACUCCUCUCACUGCAAAAAAAAACCCUCGCUCUUCCUAUUUCUCUGUUUUUUUGCCAAUUUAAUCUUCUUAUCAUGGCCCUGAGCAGUGUAAACCUCUUCCUCUUGGCGGCUUCUCUGAAAGACUAUGACGAGAAGUGUUAGACGUAGUGGGUUUAAUUGAUUUUUCUGUUUUAAUUGAGCCAUAAUUAGGGAAAGUGAUAUAAAUUAAGGUUGAAUUAAACAUACUAAGCUUCAAUUGGCAAGUAGAAUUACUUUAUUUGAAGUUUGUCGAGGCCUUUAAUUGUAUUAAGACUUAGAAGGUCAGAAUCAUCGGUAAAAGAGAGAAAUUGCCCUUUUGGUCAACUAAUUGAUUUUGUGGUUUAUAAGGCUAAUUAGCUCAAAUGCAUGCGUAAUUAACAUUGCUUGUGAUUGAAUUGAUGAUUGAUUACUUUCAAUGACUAGUGAGCCUUGGACGGGUCGCGUAGGACAUUGUAAGAUAAAUGACUUGCUUAUAUAUCAUUCACCAAAUUCUGAAAAGGCUUGUUGCAUAUCGGGUAAUCCUAGUCUCCAUAAAAGCAACUCAUUCAUAGUUAUCACUAUCUUAUUAUCGCUUGGCUUUUGUGCCUUUUGUGGAAUUGUUCUUAUCGAAAAAUAAAUGACUAGCUUAUAUGUAUGCAAAAUAUCACAUUCAAUAUCUUGGCAAUAAUGAAGGCCAACUCCUUGUGUGACAAAGUUCCAUAAAAAAUUUGGAACUCCCGUUGUAGAAAGGUAUGCAAUGUGGACUCCUUUCACCACAAAGAAAAACCCUCGCUCUUCCCAUUUCUCUUUUUUUUUUUUUUUGCCAAUUCAAUCUUCUUAUCAUGGCUCUAAGCAAUGCAAACUUCUCUCUCUUGGCGGCUCCUCUGAAAACGUUAUGGCAAGAAGCACUAGGAGUAAUGAGUUUAAUUGAUUUUUCUGUUUUAAUUGAGCCAUAAUUACAUAAAGUUAUCUAAAUAAAAGUUGAAGUAGACAUCCUAAAAUUCAAUUGGUAAUUAGAAUCACUUAAUUUAAAGUUUUUCAUGGCCUUCAAUUGGAUUAAACUUAGAAGGUCAGAAUCGUAGGUAAAAGAGAGAAGUUGCUCUUUUGGUCAACUAAUUGAUUUUGUGGUUUAUAAGACUAAUUAGCCUAAAAGCAUUCUUAAUUGACCUUGCUUGUGAUUGAAUUGAUGAUUGGUUGCUCUUAAUAUUGAUUAGUGAUGCAUGACCCUUCGAUGGGUCGCUUAGGAUGUUGUAAGAUUAAUGACUUGCUUAUAUGUCAUGCACUAAAUUCUGAAAAGGCUUGUUGCAUAUUAGGUUAAUCCUAGUCUCCAUUAAAGCAACUCAUUUACAGUUAUUGCUAUCUUAUUAUUGUUUGCCUUGUAUGGAGCGUUCUUAUUGAAAAUAGAAUGACUUACUUAUAUGUAUGCAAAAUAUCGCAUUCUAUACCUUAGCAAUAACAAGGGCCAACUUAUUGUGUGAUAACGUUCCGUAAAAGUCUUGGAACUCCUGUUAUAGAAUGGUAUGUAAUGUGGACUACUCUCACCACAAACAGAAACCCUCGCUCUUCCCAUUUCCCUUUUCUUUGCCAAUUCAAUGUCAUUAUCAUGGCCUUGAGUAAUGCAAACCUCUCUCUCAUGGCGGCUCCUCUGAAAAUAUUAUGGCAAGAAGCGCUAAAGCCAAAUAUGACAGGAGGAACCGUAACCCCCCUCACCCAAAGUAGUAGCCCUACACAUGCCUUAGGUUUGAAGGGUUAUUUAGGACUUAUGUGCAUUUUGCUACACAUAUAAGGUCCCAUUACAAGUUGGAGAGUGAAGAAGUGAAGUGGAUGAGGUUGGAAGUGAAACACAUGUGACGUGGGAACCAUCAAGGGACGGCAAGGGCUGCGGUUGGCCCCUGGUCGAGGCGGUUCGACCCAUACAAGUUAAGAAGUUAAGGUUGAAAACCAUAGAAAGGAAUGUACCAAUGCCUGUGAAAACAAAAAGUGUUGAACUACAAGAGAUGGAGUUGGAGAUGAAACUGGAGAUGGAGAGGAGGACGUCUAAGGUAUUGGAAAUGCUCUAGGGAUUUGGGAGACUAAGGAAGAACUUGUAAUAUGAGGUCUAUGAGAUGUCGAUUAUCUUGCAUUGAAAUGAGUAUGAGUUAUAGACUUUAAUUAGGAGCCUAGUGAUUUAACCUACUGCUUGUUGAAAUUCAAAUGGGGGUUAAUAAUCACUUCGUAUUAAUUAAUCAACCCAUAAUUGAUUAUGAGGUUGAUUGGUAAUCAAAUGUAUGAUCAACAUCAAUUUCUCAAAUCAAACUCAAUUUUCUUGGUGAAAGAUUGAUUGAGUGAACUUGCUAAUAUUUGGAUUAAGUGAUUACGUGAAUAAGAAUGGGAUGACAAUGGAGACUGGUGGUCGAGAGUUUGAGGAGGUGGUCCAAGGUGGUGGUUAGACUUAGGUUUAUUUGCUUAGCUUGGCAGUUAUUAGGCUAGCUUAAUUAACAGCCAUAUGAAUUAAUAAUCAAAAUAGCUCAGAUUUUAUAAAUUUAAAAAUAAAAUUAAACUUAGAAUCACUCCCUUAAUAAAUGAGUUAUUUAGUUUAGAAUGAUACUAUCAUUCUCAAUAAAACGAGUAGAAGUUAGGCCCGCCUUAAUUUAACUCAAAUGUAGGAAUUAAGCUUAGUCUUUAGCAUCAAGCUUACGGGGGUUCAUGUCCCGAGAUCUAUAAUAAGGCGAUGUAAUUCUUUACCCGACUUGGUAUCUGAUCAAGCUCAUGGGUGACCAUGUCACGGGGCGUCGAGCACAGCCAUGCAUAUUCUUUACCCGACAAGUAUCGGGUUUUUUUUCUCGUAAUUUACUUUAAAUCUUUUCAAUUCUUGGGCAUUUACUUUCCGCACUUUCAAUGCAUUAAUAGUUCUUUUUCUUUUUAGCACAGUUAGGAUAAGCCUUAGGAUCACUAGUAAACUCCUAAAAAUAAUUACAUGAACACUUAGCGAUAUCGAAUGAACAUUAGGACUCAUAAUUGGAAAAGACCGUUUGAUCACUUUGAGGAGAAAUCUAACCAAGUUAGAGGUAUUGAAGGGACACUAGUAGAA